rnacentral:rRNA from 1 species
UACGGAGGGUGCAAGCGUUAUCCGGAUUCACUGGGUUUAAAGGGUGCGUAGGCGGGUUGGUAAGUCCGUGGUGAAAUCUCCGAGCUUAACUCGGAAACUGCCGUGGAUACUAUCAAUCUUGAAUAUCGUGGAGGUAAGCGGAAUAUGUCAUGUAGCGGUGAAAUGCUUAGAUAUGACAUAGAACACCAAUUGCGAAGGCAGCUUACUACGGGAUUAUUGACACUGAGGCACGAAAGCGUGGGGAUCAAACAGG